GAUGAACGCUAGCGGCAGGCUUAACACAUGCAAGUCGAGGGGUAUAGUUCUUCGGAGCUAGAGACCGGCGCACGGGUGCGUAACGCGUAUGCAAUCUGCCUUUUGCAGAGGGAUAGCCCAGAGAAAUUUGGAUUAAUACCUCAUAGUAUGUGAGAAUGGCAUCAUUUUCACAUUAAAGUCACAACGGCAAAAGAUGAGCAUGCGUCCCAUUAGCUUGUUGGUAAGGUAACGGCUUACCAAGGCAACGAUGGGUAGGGGUCCUGAGAGGGAGAUCCCCCACACUGGUACUGAGACACGGACCAGACUCCUACGGGAGGCAGCAGUGAGGAAUAUUGGACAAUGGGCGCAAGCCUGAUCAGCCAUGCCGCGUGCAGGAUGACGGUCCUAUGGAUUGUAAACUGCUUUUGUACAGGAAGAAACACUGGUUCGUGAACCAGCUUGACGGUACUGUAAGAAUAAGGAUCGGCUAACUCCGUGCCAGCAGCCGCCGUAAAAC
rnacentral:rRNA from 1 species